UACAGAGGGGGCAAGCGUUGUUCGGAAUUACUGGGCGUAAAGGGCGCGUAGGCGGCCUUCUAAGUCGAACGUGAAAUCCCCGGGCUCAACCCGGGAACUGCGUCUGAUACUGGUUGGCUUGAAUUCGGGAGAGGGAUGCGGAAUUCCAGGUGUAGCGGUGAAAUGCGUAGAUAUCUGGAGGAACACCGGUGGCGAAGACGGCAUCCUGGACCGAGAUUGACGCUGAUGCGCGAAAGCCAGGGGAGCAAACGGGG
rnacentral:rRNA from 1 species